rnacentral:rRNA from 1 species
AGUAACACGUGAGUAACCUGCCCCUCACUCUGGGAUAACUCCGGGAAACCGGUGCUAAUACUGGAUAUGACCUGAACAGGCAUCUGUAUCGGGUGGAAAGAUUUAUUGGUGGGGGAUGGACUCGCGGCCUAUCAGCUUGUUGGUGAGGUAAUGGCUCACCAAGGCGACGACGGGUAGCCGGCCUGAGAGGGCGAUCGGCCACACUGGGACUGAGACACGGCCCAG